rnacentral:rRNA from 1 species
CCUAAUACAUGCAAGUCGAGCGCGCCCUUCGGGGUGAGCGGCGGACGGGUGAGUAACGCGUGGGAAUAUGCCCUUCUCUAAGGAAUAGCCUCUGGAAACGGAGAGUAAUACCUUAUACGCCCUUUGGGGGAAAGAUUUAUCGGAGAAGGAUUAGCCCGCGUUAGAUUAGGUAGUUGGUGGGGUAAUGGCCUACCAAGCCUACGAUCUAUAGCUGGUUUGAGAGGAUGAUCAGCCACACUGGGACUGAGACACGGCCCAGACUCCUACGGGAGGCAGCAGUAGGGAAUCUUAGACAAUGGGGGCAACCCUGAUCUAGCCAUGCCGCGUGUGUGAUGAAGGCCCUAGGGUCGUAAAGCACUUUCGCCAGAGAUGAUAAUGACAGUAUCUGGUAAAGAAACCCCGGCUAACUCCGUGCCAGCAGCCGCGGUAAUACGGAGGGGGUUAGCGUUGUUCGGAAUUACUGGGCGUAAAGCGCACGUAGGCGGAUUAGUAAGUUAGAGGUGAAAUCCCAGGGCUCAACCCUGGAACUGCCUUUAAUACUGCUAGUCUUGAGUUCGAGAGAGGUAAGUGGAAUUCCGAGUGUAGAGGUGAAAUUCGUAGAUAUUCGGAGGAACACCAGUGGCGAAGGCGGCUUACUGGCUCGAUACUGACGCUGAGGUGCGAAAGUGUGGGGAGCAAACAGGAUUAGAUACCCUGGUAGUCCACACCGUAAACGAUGAAUGCCAGACGUCAGCAAGUAUACUUGUUGGUGUCACACCUAACGGAUUAAG